CCUACGGGGGGCAGCAGUGAGGAAUAUUGGUCAAUGGACGAGAGUCUGAACCAGCCAAGUAGCGUGAAGGAUGACUGCCCUAUGGGUUGUAAACUUCUUUUAUAUGGGAAUAAAACGUUCCACGUGUGGGAUUUUGUAUGUACCAUAUGAAUAAGGAUCGGCUAACUCCGUGCCAGCAGCCGCGGUAAUACGGAGGAUCCGAGCGUUAUCCGGAUUUAUUGGGUUUAAAGGGAGCGUAGGUGGAUUGUUAAGUCAGUUGUGAAAGUUUGCGGCUCAACCGUAAAAUUGCAGUUGAAACUGGCAGUCUUGAGGACAGUAGAGGUGGGCGGAAUUCGUGGUGUAGCGGUGAAAUGCUUAGAUAUCACGAAGAACUCCGAUUGCGAAGGCAGUUCACUGGACUGCAACUGACACUGAGGCUCGAAAGUGUGGGUAUCAAACAGGAUUAGAUACCCUUGUAGUC
rnacentral:rRNA from 1 species